rnacentral:rRNA from 1 species
ANNCGNNNCUGCCCGGUGAAAUUUUUUAACGGCCGCGGUACUCUGACCGUGCAAAGGUAGCAUAAUCAUUUGCCUUAUAAUUGAAGGCUAGUAUGAAUGGUUUGACGAGAAUACGGCUGUCUCUUUUCAAUUUGAUAGAAUUUUAUUUUUAGGUGAAAAAGCCUUAAUUAAAUUAAAAGACAAAAAAACCCUAUCGAGCUUUAAAGAAAUUAGCGGAUGUUAGUUUUUAUUUGUUAAAAAUAUGGCUGUUAAAUAUUUUGGUUGGGGCGACUGANGAACAUAAAAAGCUUCCUUUAAAAUUGUUUGACAUACAAGUAUUGAUCCAUACUUUAGUGAUUAAAGAAAUUAGUUACCGUAGGGAUAACAGCAUUAUCCUUUUUGAGAGUUCUAAUCGAAAAAAGGGUUUGUGACCUCGAUGUUGGACCANAAUGUCCUAAAGAUGCCGAAGUCUUUAAGGGUUGGUCUGUUCGACCAUUAAAAUUCUA